UGCAGGUCGGGCUUUAAGUCCCGCCCCUCGUAUUAUCCGCAGUAGUAUGCUUUUGCUUCAACCAACGGACGAGGUUAUCUUACCUAUAACAGGAAACAAGCAACCAUGGUCUGACUGCUAAUAAAAGCUAGCAUCUACGUGGUUAGGAGGAUUCAGGCUUCCAUUGCUGCAGGAGAGCAACUGGAAAAGCCCAUCGUAACACCAUGUAGUGCUAUUGCUGAAACGAGAGCGGGAUAUGAGUUGAGAGGAAACGCCCCAGCGGCUGCACUGAGCCCUAACCCUGAUGAAGGUGUCAGUGGAGCAGCAGGCUCAGGGACGUCCUCGGAGACAGCUGUGCAGAAAUGUGGCUCCUGAUGUUAAAUAUUAUGCUGGACACUGGGCCUUUGGUCCCCACAAUGGAAAAAAUAUAAUUUACUUUGUAUAAUAACUUUGUAUUUUUGCAUCACAGUACAACAAUACAUUAUCCUGGAUAAUUUCAUGUAGCCUAUAUAACCUACAGAACCAUCUCAUUGCAAUGGUCAACAUUAACUUUGUCAAAACAAAAAUUGUACAAACACACCCUUAUUGACUACAAUACAAAGAACAUUUUCCACUGCUUUCCAGUGUCCAUGCUGUACUCAAUGGCCAAUGUCCAGGUCCCAAUGAAACACAUUCUAUUUCACAGCAGACAUUUUGACUUACCAUAGUUAAAAAACAGGUGCGACCAAUAACAAUUUCUCUUUUACAUUAAGGUUUCCUGGUGAGCUACACACAGUAUAAUAGGCACCUGAUUGUAAUGGAGCCGUUUGUUAUUACAUUUGUUUGGUUAGUCAACAUGUUCUCGGUGAGAAAGGCCUGUAUUUAUGUACUGCAGUGUUUGAAGGCUAACUCACCAACCUCCCUCCAGGGGCUGAGCAGGCCUGAUGUUUCUGCUGCUGUAUCAAUAAAUGAAUAAUACAAAAAGUUG